CCGCUCUAGAAUAGUGGAUCCCCCGGGCUGCAGCCCAAUGUGGAAUUCGCCCUUUGCCCGCCGCGCGCGGCGGGCGGGGCGGGGGCACGGGGGGCCUACGGGAGGCAGCAGUGGGGAAUAUUGCACAAUGGGCGCAAGCCUGAUGCAGCGACGCCGCGUGAGGGAUGGAGGCCUUCGGGUUGUAAACC
rnacentral:rRNA from 1 species